UGGCAAACCCCUUCAGCUCCUUCAGUUCU
rnacentral:piRNA from 1 species